rnacentral:rRNA from 1 species
GGACGAACGCUGGCGGCGUGCUUAACCCAUGCAAGUCGAACGGAAAGGCCCUGCUUUUGUGGGGUGCUCGAGUGGCGAACGGGUGAGUAACACGUGAGUAACCUGCCCUUGACUUUGGGAUAACUUCAGGAAACUGGGGCUAAUACCGGAUAGGAGCUCCUGCUGCAUGGUGGGGGUUGGAAAGUUUCGGCGGUUGGGGAUGGACUCGCGGCUUAUCAGCUUGUUGGUGGGGUAGUGGCUUACCAAGGCUUUGACGGGUAGCCGGCCUGAGAGGGUGACCGGCCACAUUGGGACUGAGAUACGGCCCAGACUCCUACGGGAGGCAGCAGUGGGGAAUAUUGCACAAUGGGCGGAAGCCUGAUGCAGCAACGCCGCGUGCGGGGUGACGGCCUUCGGGUUGUAAACCGCUUUCGCCUGUGACGAAGCGUGAGUGACGGUAAUGGGUAAAGAAGCACCGGCUAACUACGUG